ensembl:lncRNA
CAGGGUACCGGGUGUUACCUGGUCAGACAGGGAGGGACAGGGUACCAGGUGUGUUACCUGGUGAGACAGCAGACAGGGAGGGGACAGGGUCCCGGGUGUGUUAGCUGGUGAGACAGCAGACAGGGAGGGACAGGGUACCAGUUGUGUUACCUGGUGAGACAGGGAGGGGACAGGGUACCAGGUGUGUUACCUGGUGAGUCAGCAGACAGGGAGGGGACAGGGUACCAGGUGUGUUACCUGGUGAGACAGCAGACAGGGAGGGGACAGGGUCCCAGGUGUGGUAGGGGUGGUGUGUGUGUACGUUGUCUCUCUUCGACACCAUGGCCUGGAUCUCUCUCUCCACGGCUCCUCUGAUCACUGACAACUUCCUGCCAAACCUGAAGGGAAGACAAGACCACCGCAAUGUCAGGAAUAACUAGUUCUCCUGUCAAUAUGAA